UGUGUACUACUACCACGAGUAAAUAAUUUCUCGAACUUGGACACCAUUCCAUUCGUGUUGCUGUAUCCAACUCUACAUUCGACUCCUGGAGCACCGAAAGCCUCGCCCGGCUCCCGCAAAAGUCCGCCCGCGCCGGAAGGAUGUCGAAGCAGCAAGGAGGCAAACGAGGACUUGCGGCAUGUUGCGCUCGCCUCGCCUCGCCUCGCCUCCACCACGCGUCCCUCCACGCCACGCACUUGCGCUCGCGCUCCCCGCCCGCCUCCUCCUCCUAUUUAGGCACACCCCUCCUCCCCGCUCCGUUCUUCCGCACCAACUCGAAUCUCCCACUCCCAACCGCCCGGCGGACCUUCCCGAGCCUUCGCCACGCAAUGGCAAUGCAGCCUCCUUCCUCCGGGGACGAGGCGGACGCGCUCCUCCCGCGGAGCGACUCCGCCGGCCGCCGCCGCUCGUCGCCCGUGCAGUCCGCGUCCCCGAGGCCCCCGGGGGCCGGUCCCAGGAGGCAGUCGUCCUUCCGCCACGACGUCGGCCAUGCCGCCUCGGAGACCUACCUCGUCACGCGCCUCACCUUCACCCUACUCCAGUACCUCGGGUUAGGUUACCGCUGGAUGAGGCAGCUUCUUGCCCUCGCAGUCUACGCUGUUCUACUUAUGCCAGGUUUUUUGCAAGUUGGAUUUUACUAUUUCUUUUCAAGUCAGGUUCGUAGAAGUAUAGUUUAUGGAGAACAACCGAGAAACAGGUUGGAUUUGUAUAUACCCAAAGAUAAUAGAAGACCCUGUCCGGUGGUGGCCUUUGUAACUGGCGGGGCCUGGAUUAUUGGUUACAAGGCAUGGGGUGCUCUUCUUGGCAGGCGAUUGGCUGAGAGAGGAAUCAUAGUUGCUUGCAUUGAUUACAGAAAUUUUCCGCAAGGAACAAUAAGUGACAUGGUUAGCGAUGCUUCUCAGGGGAUCUCAUUUGUGUGUAACAACAUUGCUAGUUAUGGAGGUGAUCCUAAUCAGAUCUACUUGAUGGGUCAGUCAGCAGGAGCACAUAUUUCAGCAUGUGUCCUAAUGGAACAGGCAGUAAAAGAGUCUAGCGGGCAGCCCAUUUCUUGGAGCGUUACACAAACCAAAGCAUACUUUGGUUUAUCUGGAGGAUACAACCUCCAUAAUUUGGUCGACCAUUUCCAUCAGCGUGGUCUGAACCGUUCAAUAUUUUUCAGUAUAAUGGAUGGAGAAGAAUCAUUGUCACGUUAUUCUCCCGAAAUUGUUGUCAAGGAGUCAAGUGCCCGGACCAUAGCUCUACUGCCUCGUAUAUUUCUUAUGCAUGGAACAGAUGAUUAUUCAAUACCAUCAUCUGCCAGUCGAACUUUUGUAGACAUCCUUCAACAAGCUGGUGCCCAGGCCAAAUUAUUGUUGUACGAAGGGAAAACACAUACAGAUAUAUUUAUACAGGAUCCUCUUAGGGGUGGAAGGGAUCCUUUGGUUGAAGAUGUCUUGUCUGUUAUUCAUGCUGAUGAUGCAACUCGCCGAAAUACAGCUUCUGUGCCAACUCCAAGGCGCCUGGUUUUUGAGUGGCAAUUGCAGUUGGCCCGUUGGAUUAGUCCCUUCUAGAAGGUAAUUGUUGUUCCCGUAUUUAUCUUUUUCCUUAAAUUCCUUCACUGCUAGACUUUUUUUUGUGUAGUAAAAAAUUGCUAAGUUCUAAAAUCGCUACGGUUCUCAUUAACUGUAAGAAUGUAGUAAUUGUGGCCAUGGCAAUAUUGUAUUAUCGUGUGCCAAGUCUUCUGUUAUGUGAUUUCUGCGAGUUCAUUCACUUGAGAUAAGGGUAGUUCUUCUCAAGCACCAUUGAUGUUGACUUGGAAUUCAAUGUUACUCAUUUCAAAUUCUAAGCUCCCCAGGCAUAGGGAGUCAUAAAUUGCGCAACUCCAGGUUCUGUUUUUACGGUGGGCCUCGCUUGUCAGUCGGUCAGGACCAAUUAUUUGACUCGGGCCUAGACGCCAGGUACCUAUGUCACUUGGUUGGGCUUCGUGUCACCGUCUGGUGGGCCCAUUGUCGUUCAAGUCAGUUGGCCCCUUAGCCUCCUUGCACACAUGGAACAUCCUCUUCCCUUUAACGCUAAGAUAGACGGGUCAAGGAACUAGAUGAGAAGACCAUGCGAGGCGACUAACAAGAGGAGCACUUGAAUGGUUGUCAGUCUGUCAGACGACACCGCGGAGAUGAUGAUUCUUAGGAUCUCGUGCAUGGUGUUUGUGUUAUUGUAUUUGCCAAUCGAAUCCGAACAAACACACGUAAAAUGGGAGAAUGCAGUGAAACAUCAAGCAGGAUAAGAUGAAGCAGAUGGCAGAACUACACGUCUUAUUUGUAAUAUUCGUCACAUGGAUUGUGCGCACACCCUGUGUAGGCAUGAUCAAUAUCAUGGGAGACAGAGGAAGGGAAAGGCAGGAUUCAUAUA